GGGCCUGUAGCUCAGGUGGUAGAGCAGCUGACUCUUAAUCAGCGGGUCCAGGGUUCGAGUCCCUGCAGGCCCCCCA
rnacentral:tRNA from 1 species